GGCUCCACUGGAACUUAGCAAGGCAAUGGGUUGUCUCUAGAUGGGACUCACAAUUGGAUUUAGGCCAGCAUAAGGGAAGUGUUUGAAGUGCUAGAAUAAAGAGAAUGAGAGAAUCAUUCAGUAAAGGACUGGGUGAACUGUAAACAGAAAGAGUUUCAAAUGGUUUCAAGUGGUUUCAAGUGGCAACUAAAAAGUGAAAUUUCACUGUGUUAACUACAGCCUUAGAGACAAAAUAAAAUUCCAUGGGUAGUUUCCUCCCAGGAGGAAAACUGUAUAAAUACCAAGGAUUUGGAAAGGUCUUCCCAAAAUAUUUCAGAACUUCCUUCCUUGAGGGUUUCUUUUAUUUUCAUUGGCAUUCAGGCUAUAGCCAACAUUUGGCAAUGAAGACUCUUUACUCUCUCUUUCUUCUUGCUUUCUUUGUUUUCCAGGUCCAAGCAAGCUCAACUUUACCACCUGAGAAAGGAUCAGAAAAUCCUGGUGCUCCAAAUCCUUCUGACUACCGAGAAGAUGACCAUGGACUGGAGAAAAACUCAGCCCUUGCUUCACGAUUGACCACCUUUUCAUGCUUUGGUCCUUUUGGGUAUUGCCUUCCUCGGACCUGGUUGUGUCUCUCCGAAAGAGUGUUCAAAGAGGAAUUCAACGAUUGUCCAGUGCCUGAUGUCUUCAAGUGCUGUGUUUUCUGAAAAAUGGGACACACUUCUGUGAACCCCUCUCUGGAGACAACAGUCUCAACUAUGAAGAAGAAUUUUGAUUUGAUAAUCAGGAAAUUUGAUAAUGAAGAAGAGUGAUUUCUUCCGAUAUUCCACAUAAAUAAUCCUCUGUUAAUCAGCUCCACCACUUUCAUUAAAGCAUCUAUAAACUAAAAUAUUCAUUUGACUCAUUUGUUUGGUGCUUACUACUUGAUCUCAAGAAAGAUCAGUGCCCUCUUCCCAUGACGCCAUUAUAGCACAAUAAUCCAUUGUUAAUUGCCAUGGCAACAUCUUCUGGAAUCCUAGAAUUUGUAGUCUGGUGAGGUACCAUGGUUCUCUGAUUUAUAUAAUUCUACAUACUCCUUCCUGAUUGCAUAUCCCUGGAUUUCACAGGAUGUUGUCACUGCAAUUAAAGUGUAUCAUCAUGCUAUAAUCAUAAAGGGUGAAACAACCCCUAGUAUAAGUUCUUCUAUGAAAACAUCAUCUCAGUUUCUUCUCUCAUGAGAAAAAUAUGUGAAAAUUAAAACACAGAGCUAAAUUCCAUUGUCACUCCUGACUUGAGCAGAACCAUGGAAUCAGUUUGAUUUACUUAUGUGUUGACAGUUUCUAUUCUAGGAUUCCAGUCAU
rnacentral:lncRNA from 11 species